GGAAAACAGGUUAAUAUUCCUGUACUUCCAGUUAUUGCGAUGGAGGGACGGAGAAGGUUAGGCCAGCCUGGCGUUGGUUGUCCAGGUUUAAGGUGGUAGGCUGAAAUCUUAGGCAAAUCCGGGAUUUUAAGGCCGAGAGCUGAUGACGAGUUGCCUUUAGGCGACGAAGUGGUUGAUACCAUGCUUCCAAGAAAAGCUCCUAAGCUUCAGAUAACUGGGAACCGUACCCCAAACCGACACAGGUGGUUAGGUAGA
rnacentral:rRNA from 1 species